rnacentral:rRNA from 1 species
UACGUAGGAUGCAAGCGUUGUCCGGAUUUAUUGGGUUUAAAGGGUGCGUAGGCGGCCUAUUAAGUUAGUGGUGAAAACGUUCGGCAUAACCGAAUACCCGCCAUUGAUACUGAUAGGCUUGAGUGCGACAGAGGGUGUUGGAAUGUGUGGUGUAGCGGUGAAAUGCUUAGAUAUCACGCAGAACACCAAUUGCGAAGGCAGAUGCCUAUGUCGUAACUGACGCUGAGGCACGAAAGCGUGGGGAGCAAACAGG